rnacentral:rRNA from 1 species
CGGUAGCUUGCUCCYGGGAUGACGAGCGGCGGACGGGUGAGAUAAURUCUGGGAAACUGCCUGAUGGAGGGGGAUAACUACUGGAAACGGUAGCUAAUACCGCAUAACGUCUUCGGACCAAAGUGGGGGACCUUCGGGCCUCAUGCCAUCAGAUGUGCCCAGAUGGGAUUAGCUAGUAGGUGGGGUAACGGCUCACCUAGGCGACGAUCCCUAGCUGGUCUGAGAGGAUGACCAGCCACACUGGAACUGAGACACGGUCCAGACUCCUACGGGAGGCAGCAGUGGGGAAUAUUGCACAAUGGGCGCAAGCCUGAUGCAGCCAUGCCGCGUGUAUGAAGAAGGCCUUCGGGUUGUAAAGUACUUUCAGCGAGGAGGAAGGCAUUAAGGUUAAUAACCUYGGUGAUUGACGUUACUCGCAGAAGAAGCACCGGCUAACUCCGUGCCAGCAGCCGCGGUAAUACGGAGGGUGCAAGCGUUAAUCGGAAUUACUGGGCCGUAAAGCGCACGCAGGCGGUCUGUCAAGUCGGAUGUGAAAUCCCCGGGCUCAACCUGGGAACUGCAUUUCGAAACUGGCAGGCUAAAGUCUUGUANAGGGGGGUAGAAUUCCAGGUGUAGCGGUGAAAUGCGUAUAGAUCUGGAGGAAUACCGGUGGCGAAGGCGGCCCCCUGUACAAGACUGACCUCAGGUGCGAA